CUCUCCUCCUCUCCCUCCCUUCCCUCCUCUCCCUUUCUCUCUUCUCAUCUCUCUCCCUUCCCCUCCGCCUCCCGUUCACUGUGUCUCUUUCCCUUCCUCUGGCGUCCCUCAUUCCCCGGGCUGUCCCUCCGCGCCUUCUCGCCUCUCCCAGCCCCCUGCCCUCAGCCAGCCGAGUCCUGGGGGUGGGCCACCCUCCGCAUUCCUGUUCUCCCUCCAGUUCCACCUCCUCCCUCCUAGGCGGGUCUCCCCUGGCUUCCACUUUCUCUUUUUCCCCAGUCUCGGUCCCUUUCGCCUCAGCCGACAGACGAGGCAGCGGGAGGUCUCUGUGGGGAUGGAGGUGGCUUUCGCUGUGCCGCCCGGCCCUGGGCGAUCCCGCCGCACUGGGCUGAGCGAAAGCCCCAGGCCCCGUCCGCCCAGCCGCCCAGCCUCCCCGCCCGCGUCCCUCCCGCCCCCGCAGGGUCCAUGCGCCCUUCCCUCCCUCCGGCGCAGUCAGUCGGUCCUCCCUCUCUGCGCUCUACGUCCUCUGCCCCUCCCGCGCCACCUUCCUCUCUGGGCGCUCUUACUCUCUGCUCCUCCUCCCCCGGCAUCCCCUACAGCCACCCUCUGGCUCCCGUCUGUCUCUCGCUCCCUUCUUUCCCACCCAUCGCCUCCCCGCGCCUUCCCCUGGCACUUCCUCCUCUGGCUAGCUCGCCUCCCUCCCCUUCUCCCGCAGUGCUCCCCUUUUCUUUUUUUCUUGUGCUCUCUACCCUUUUCGCUUCUCCUCUCGCUUUUUAUCUUUUUUCUCCUCCUCUCUUCUGUCCUUCCACAGACUGCCUCCUCUUCCUCUCUCCCCUUCCUUCCCACUGUCCUUUGGGAGAUCGCCAGAUCUGCAUGUCCCCUCGCUCCCUUCUUUCCUCUCUGAAUCGUCCCCUCCCGUUCUGGAUCGUCUGGAGAGGGCCUCCUCCUGUCUCAGGGCGGUGCCUGCACCCUCGCCGGCUCCUCCCCUGCUCAGUGCUCAAGGUUCCAGACUCUGAGGAGGUGGCUUCCACCCAGUGGCAGGAGGUGGGCCACCUGGAGCAGAGCUGCCAAGCCAGAGCCCAGGCGCUGUGACAGAACUUUGUGACAUUUGUUCUCUCUCUUUUCUGUUCUGUCGCUGGACACACCCUGGAGGAAUCAAGCCCACCAAAAGCCUGGGAAGGAGGAAACGAGGAAUGGGACCAGAGACAGGAAACAAGUUGCCUAUAGACACAGCAUGUAGCAGAGGACUCAGCAUGGGAGGACCUUACUGGAUUUCCAUUUCACCCAUGAGAAACGACUCUCAGUGGUUCAAAAGACCAGCAGCAGCUAGGACACGGGCUCCAGGAAAGACCUUCCAUGAAGGACCAACAGCGUCCCCUGCAGGGCACUUUCAUCCAUGGAGGGGACCCUCUGUUGCCACCUCCUGGCAGCACAUGGAACAGCAACCCUGCUGUAUUAAACACUGAGAAUGAUCCUAAGGGAGAAGGACAAUGCCAAGAAUGCCUGGGGGAGGCAGAGGGAGGGUGUGUGGGGAGAGGACAAAUUUGCAAAAUGCUGUAGAAAUGAACAUGUUUACUUCUAAUAUAUAAAUAUCCUGCCCAACGAGCGUCCUGCUAUGGCAGCUCACUCCCUGGAAACUCCCGUGCUGUCAAGUCAUUCAGCAGAAUCUCUCCUGUGCACACCCCCGCUCCAGGUGAUGCAUUACCGGAGAAAAGGGCCUGGAACCUGGUUUACACAAGCUUUCUUGGAAGACUAUUUCCAGGGAUUGGGCCAAAUCGAGUAUAUUUCCUUUGUAACACCAUCAUACCUUACUAACGGAAGGUGGAUGUGAGCCAAGGUGGUGGGCCAACAGCUAAAGGCCAAAGAACAAGCCCCUGCUCCUCACCAUGGAGUGUCCCAAAGGUAAAAAGCCCACAGACUUGUUUCUAGAAGCCACAACAUGGAGCAGUGGAGUCUUACAAAAUCCAAAAAUUAGACUUCCACAUCCUAAGACCACAUGCCAUACAAUUAGUGCAAAAGAGGCAAAUGCCAGGCUGGGGAGAUAGCUCAGCUGGUAGAGUGCUUGCCUUGCAAGCACAAAGCCCUGAGUUCAAUCCCCAGUACCAAAAAAAAAAAAAAAAAAAAAAAAAAAGA